UACGUAGGGUGCAAGCGUUAAUCGGAAUUACUGGGCGUAAAGCGUGCGCAGGCGGUUUUGUAAGUCUGUCGUGAAAGCCCCGGGCUCAACCUGGGAAUUGCGAUGGAGACUGCAAGGCUUGAAUCUGGCAGAGGGGGGUAGAAUUCCACGUGUAGCAGUGAUAUGCGUAGAGAUGUGGAGGAACACCGAUGGCGAAGGCAGCCCCCUGGGUCAAGAUUGACGCUCAUGCACGAAAGCGUGGGGAGCAAACAGG
rnacentral:rRNA from 1 species